AGGACGAACGCUGGCGGCGUGCCUAACACAUGCAAGUGGAGCGACGAACCAGGGCUUGCCCUGGGGCGAAGCCGCGAACGGGUGAGUAUCACGUGGGUAACCUGCCCCGAUGACCGGGACAACCCGAGGAAACUCGGGCUAAUACCGGAUGUGGUGUACACACAUAAGUGUGUCCACUAAAGGAAGCUUCGGCCUCCACAUUGGGAUGGGCCCCGCGGCCCAUUAGCUUGGUUGGUGGGGUAAUGGCCUACCAAGGCAACGAUGGGUAGCUGGUCUGAGAGGACGAUCAGCCACACUGGGACUGAGACACGGCCCAGACUCCUACGGGAGGCAGCAGUGGGGAAUCUUGCGCAAUGCG
rnacentral:rRNA from 1 species